rnacentral:ncRNA from 1 species
GAGGCGUCUCCCGAAAAGCCUUAACAGAGUAGGGC